UACGUAGGGUCCGAGCGUUAAUCGGAAUUACUGGGCGUAAAGCGUGCGCAGGCGGUUUUGUAAGCCAGAUGUGAAAUCCCCGGGCUUAACCUGGGAAUGGCAUUUGGGACUGCAAGGCUGGAGUGUGGCAGAGGAGACUGGAAUUCCUGGUGUAGCAGUGAAAUGCGUAGAUAUCAGGAGGAACACCGGUGGCGAAGGCGGGUCUCUGGGCCGAUAUUGACGCUGAGGAGCGAAAGCGUGGGGAGCGAACAGG
rnacentral:rRNA from 1 species